rnacentral:lncRNA from 1 species
GGUGCAGGAAAAACAUGGGCAACCUACCCAGUUGGUAAAAUUGCAAUUCAAAAACUCUUUAGAUUUUACUGUCUGGAUGGCACAGGAAGAGAAACAAAAUAAUGUUCUGUACUGCAGUCACAGGAGUACAUAGUAGAGAUAUAA